GCAACCCUGGCAGGAGACGGCGGGGGCCGCCCGGCCUGGCCCAGCCCAAGCGCGGCUUCCCCGAGGCUGCGCCACAGCGCGCAGGAACCACGCGCGGUCCCCGCGUCCGGGGACCUCGGGCCCGGGGCGCCCCGGCCUCAAGGGAGACGCCUGGCCCCGCCACCCCGUCGGGUCCGGGACGGAAACGCGGGGCAUGAGCGCAGGGGAUGCGGAUGGGGGUGCAGGACGCGCAACGGGUGCGGGCCGCUCCGGGGGACGUCGGGCCCGCGAGGGUCCAGGGGAGGGGCCCUUUGGCCCCCCCCCGAACGCAGGCGCGGCCGGUGGAGCCGGUCCCCCGCCCCGGGCAUUGCUACAUCUAUGAAGGAAGCUGAAAAGGAUUACUGCUUCCCUGGUGGCGCAGUGGUUAAGAAUCCGCC